rnacentral:lncRNA from 1 species
GUAGUCCGCCCCAGGCAUGUCCACACCACUGGUGGUGCAAAAGACCAAAUGGGUAAUUUUGGACUUGGGCUGGCCCCAUUCCUUAAUGGCCUUGGUGGCAGCUUCUUUGCCGAGUUUUGGAAUUUCAACAACCACCAUGUCCUGCCUGGCAUCAAGGGAAGGGGCCAUGUACUCACACAUAGUUGGGUUCUCUUUUAGAAUGUCUUCAGUCAAGUACAUGUAACGCUUCUUGAUCAUGGAUUUGUCGCCUGAAAAAAGCAUAAAACAGAAAAGUUACGCUUGUCUUGAGGAUUGUGCAUGACUAUGAUUUAUAAUUAAUUUGUUUGUGGUUUUAAAAUGGCCCACUGCUGCUGCGAAGGCGGUUUUAAUUGGUGUACUUUUCCCAAUUACUAUGUUAUCGUGUCAUGCCAGAAAGUGCUUGAAUUGCAUUAGAAAGGUACACUGACUGCUGCAGACUGCAGAGUACGAUAUGAAAUUAAAACAACUCACUAUCACAACUAUUAAUUGGAAAAUAAUAAUUGUGACAUUUGUUUUGUUUGUAUUCAAAUUCUUGUAAUGUUUUUUCUGAAAUUCCCAUUUUGUCAUUUUCACAUCACAGACAGAUAUCAUGGACAAAGGCUAAGCCAUGCAUAUAUCCAGAAUAAUAAAUAAAUAAAUAAAAGUGAAAAUUUAUCAAACACCUUGCAGAUAUUCAUGAUAUCCUUUUUUUCCUGGAAUUAAACAAGGAAUUGCCUACGGAUCAUGUUCAACGAAAGAUAAGAAGAAGAAAAAAGGAGAAGAUAUUGGUACUUACACAUGCGCUGGAAUUUUUCCUUGAGCUCAACCUUGUGCUCACUGUUGGUAAUACGAAAGUAGUAGUCGGGGUAGGUAGCCUGAUCAACACAAUUGGGAGGAGUUGCUGUCCCAAUGGCCAAGACUGUGGCCGGACCCUCUGCCCGCUGAGCCUUACGAACUUCCUCGACAGUCACCAUUUUCUCCGGUCGUCAAGAAAGAUCAAGGAGGCUAGGAGCUGGUUGUGGUUGUGUGUUUACAGUUGCAAUGGUAAGUAUGAGAAAAUGUUAAGAGAAGCGGUUGUAUUUAUAUAAUAAGUGAAACAGAGGUAGAUAGCUACGUUUCACGUGCCUGACCAAUUCCUUUGUUAGAAAAGUAAAUGCUCAACAACCUAAGGCCAAAAGGGCCUUGCUGGCACGUGCAUUUUUGUGUGGUAUGUGUUGCCUACAAACAUCUUCAUGAUUUGGAAUGCGCUUGUUCUCACGUUAUACCUAACAAACCAAAAUAUCAUCAACAACUUUCAUUUCAUUUUUUGUCAAUUCGAUCGGAGGGUACAGAUAAGUCGGUGAAUGCAUUUAGGAUUUAAUCAUAUGGUCCCAAAUUUUAUUAUUUUCUUGUUUUUUUUUUUUCUUAUCCAACGGGUUAGAAUAUUGGUUUUGAUAAAUAUAAAUUUCAAAAAGGAAAAUAAUAACAACAAUUUGUAGUGGUACCGUGGUAGGCAUAGUGACACACAAUGGGUGCUUAGUUGGAGAUGAACCUGAAUUUAGAAAAUAAAAAGAUGUAUGUUUACUACGAAAAUUCAUUUGCCCACAUAAAUUAGCUAUAAAUAGCUCACCAUGAUGUUAAAUUCAAUGAUUUUUUUUUUUUUUUUUUUGCAAAGAUGGAUUAUGAUCAUAAUCUGACUAUGGUCGACAUUACAUAUAUAUAUAUAUAUAUAUAUAACUUGAAUUUGAAUCCAUCUAAUCACUCAAUUAAUGGUUGUCAUUUUAGUAAUUUUUGCUAAAAUAUGAAAAUUAUGAGAGAAUAUUUGUUUGUGAGAAUUUUCUGUGUAUUCUUCUCCUUGUAGGAGGUCAUAAUUAUAAUACAACGAAACCUGGAUGGGUAAGUAAAUAAUAAAUUCCUAAAUCUAUUUGCAGUAGGAAAUCAGGAAUUAAAGUAAAUCAAUUACAAUUAUAAUAGGAAUUCUUGGUGUGUAAGGAAAGUAAGUCAAUAUCCAUAAGUCACGCCAACACUCCCCCUCACGUUGGUGCAUAGAUGUCGUCAAUGCCCAACUGAUCUAGUGAAUUGUGGAAUGCUUUACUGGAAAUCGCCUUUGUCAAAAUAUCCGCCAAUUGAUCCUCGGAUUUCACAAAAGGAAACUGAAACACUUUAGCCUCAAGCUUUUGUUUGAUGAAGUGUCGAUCCACCUCAACAUGUUUAGUACGAUCAUGCUGAACCGGAUUCUGUGCAAUGGCUAUAGCAGCCUUGUUGUCACAAAAGAGAUUCAUUGUGGAUGUAGGUUUAUACCCAAGUUCAGUAAGCAACUUUCUUAACCAAAGAAGUUCACAAAUCCCUUUAGUCAUGCCUCUGAACUCGGCUUCUGCACUGGAUAAAGCUACUACAUUCUGUUUCUUGCUUCUCCAUGUCACCAAAUUACCUCCCACGAAUGUGAAGUAACCCGAUGUGGAUUUUCUAUCUGUUACAUUACCUGCCCAAUCUGCAUCUGAAUAACCAUCAAUAUUUAGAUGACCAUGCUUUGAGAACAUAAGUCCUUUUCCAGGUGCAGACUUCAAAUAUCUAAGUAUCCGAAGAACUGCAUUCAUAUGGUCUUCACUUGGAGAGUGCAUAAAUUGACUGACAACGCUCACCGCAUAAGCAAUGUCUGGUCGAGUAUGUGACAAAUAGAUCAAUCUUCCCACUAACCUUUGGUAUCUUUCUUUGUUAGUUGGAACUUGAUCCGGAUAUUCUCCAAGAUGAUGAUUCUGAACAAUAGGAGUGUUCGUAAGUUUACAAUCUAGCAUUUCUGUGUAUGUCAACAAGUCUAAGACAUAUUUCCUUUGAGGGAGAAAUAUGCCUUGCUGCGAUCGAGCCACCUCAAUUCCCAAGAAAUACUUGAGUCCACCUAGAUCCUUAAUCUCAAACUCCGUAGCCAGAUAGUCUUGUAGCUGUGAUAUUUCCUGUUUAUCAUUCCCAGUAAUAAUCAUAUCAUCAACAUAGAUUAUUAAUGCUGUUACAUUCCCUUUUCGAUGUUUCAAGAACGGAGUAUGAUCUGAGUUGCACUGUUUGAAACCAUUGUUCUUCAUUGCCAUGGUGAACCGUCCAAACCAUGCACGUGGUGACUGUUUCAAUCCAUACAAUGCUUUUCGUAACCUGCAAACUGUUCCAGUCUGAGUAGUAUUAUAUCCAGGAGGAAUGUCCAUGUACACCUCCUCCGUGAGUUCGCCAUGUAGAAAAGCAUUCUUUACAUCAAACUGGUGUAGUGGCCAAUCCAAAUUAGCUGCAAGGGACAAUAAGACUCUGACGGUGUUUAACUUUGCAACUGGAGCAAAGGUUUCUUCAUAGUCUAUACCAUAGGUCUGUGUGUACCCUUUUGCCACAAGUGUUGCCUUGUAUCGCUCGAUAGAUCCAUCUGCAUUGUGUUUUAUAGUAAACACCCAUCUACAUCCGAUAGUCUUUUUUCCUCGGGGUAAAGUCUCCAAUGUCCAAGUCUGAUUUUUCUCAAGGGCUUUCAUCUCCUCUUUUAUAGAUUGGACCCAUUUAAGAUCUUUCAAUGCUUCAGAGACCUUGGUUGGAAUAUGGAUAGCAGACAACUGAUGCACAAAAGCCUUGAGUGGUUCAGACAGCUUCUCAGUGGAUACAUGAUUUACAAUUGGAUACUUGGAUGUCUUGCCAAUAUCAGGUGAAUAGCGGUUUGGUGGCUUCCCAUGAUUUUGCCUGAAAGGUAAUUGAUAUCCAAUAGUUUUAUCAUCUAAAUGCACAAGUCUAGUAGGUGUAGUUACCUCAAGGAUAUUCUCAGGAGAUUGGUCUGUUGGUACUGUUGAGUUAGAGGGGGGGUCUUCAUCUUGUUGUUCUGUAUUGUCUGUAGGUGUGAGACUCGGAUUAGAAAUAUCUUCGCAUGGAUCAGGUGGGUCAGACAAUUGAUCGCUAUGAAUGGGCGAUUAGUCGCUUUUCGACAGAGAGUAAUCUCGUGCUCCAGACUCGGAAUGAUCAAUCAUUUCUGUACAAAGGAGAAUUUCUUUAUUUUCCAAGUCGCUCCAAUUCUGCUCUUCACUUCGUAUCUCCCCCUGAAGUGUAGAAUUGGAUUAUGGGUCAUGGAAGAACAGCUCAGAUUCCAGAAAGGUCACAUCCAAAGUGACAUAGGUUAGUUGGGUAGGAGGGUGAUAACAGCGGUAGCCUUUCUGAUGAGUGGCAUAACCCACAAAAACACAACGAAGCGCACAUGGAUCAAGUUUGCUACGUUGAUUUUUGUGGAGAUGAACGAAAGCCACACAUCCAAAGAUUCGGAGUGUGAGCACCAAAACAGAAGGCAGAGGUCUGUGUUGUGCAAGCACCUGUAAGGGAGUUUUAAAGGUCAGUAUACCAGAAGACAUGCGGUUGAUUAGAUGAAACUGCGGUGACAAUAGCAUCAUCCCAGUGAUGGCGAGGAACAUGAGCGCCAAUCAGAACUGCUCGGGCGGUUUCAAGAAGAUGUCGAUUCUUUCGUUCAGCAACACCAUUUUGUUGUGGUGUCUGAGACAAGUCGUCUCAUGGAUAAAUUCCAUGUUGUUGGAAGUAAGUCUGAAAGUCAUGAUUGAUAAAUUCUCCACCAUUGUCUGAGCGAAGAAUCUGGAUUUGAGCAUUAAACUGAGUUUUCAUCUGUUUGUGGAAGGACUGAAAACAGGAAAACACUUCGUUUUUAUUCUUCAGCAAAUAAAGCCAUGUCAUCCGUGUACAAUCAUCGAUGAAUAUGACAAACCAUCGAACACCAGAAGGAGCAGUGAUAGGAGAAGGUCCCCAGACAUCAGAGUGAAGUAACGUAAAUGGAGUAGUACACUUGUUCGUACUCAACGGGUAGGGCACACGGUGACUCUUGGCCAAAAUACAAGUAUCACAUGUGAAGUCAGAGUCCUUGAAACCUGAGAAUAAAUCUGGUAUAAGAUGCUUCAUAUAACUAAAAGACGGAUGUCCCAAUCGAUGGUGCCACAACCAGAUUUGCUUUUGUUUGCUAUCAAAGGGAUGUGUCACGCUGUUAGCCAUGCCGGGACUGAAGUCAUCGACAUAAUAUAGCCCUCCUCUCUUAGUACCACGACCAAGAAUCUCCUUAGUGUGAAUAUCCUGAAGCAAACAAAAACUUGGGUAAAUGAGUACACAACAAUUCAAUUGUUCAGUAAGCUGACUAACUGACAACAAUUUAGUGGAUAAAGAUGGAACAAGUAAAGUAUUAGACAGUGUGAGAGAGGAUGAGAGUGUAACAGUACCAGCCCCUGUCACAGGAUAAGUAACACCAUUGGCAUUUGCAAUACAGGUUCGUCGAGGUUGUGUAGUAUUCAGAAAAUCAUUAGGAUCAAACGUCAUAUGAUCAGUGGCACCGGAAUCAAUUAUCCAGCUCCUGAAAUCAAUCUUAUCGGAAGUAUGGAAUCCAUAACCAGUACCAGUACUGGUCAAAUUGCAUUGUCCUCGAUCUGUAAGAGUAGCCCGCCAAUUGGGGUAGCCAUGCGAUUUAAAACAAGUCUCACAAGUGUGUCUCGGAUCACCACAAUAUGCGCAAUCUGGUCCAUGUGUCAGGGUCGUUAGUCGAGAAGUCAUAUUCUGUGUAGCGGAAGAUGCAUAGGAUACAAGUUGAGUAGGAAUUGGGAUCGGAAUCUGAGCCUGAGUCGGGGCCGGAGUCAGAGUCGAAAUCGGGAUCAGGGUCUGAAUCAGAAACAAAUUCGGGGUUGGGGUCAUUAUCGGAGUGGGGGUCGGGGUCGUCUUCGGAGUCGGGGUCAGGGUCGUCGUCGUCAUAGUCGGGGUCGGGGUUAGGGUCGUCAAAAGAGGAUCUUGAUUCUGAAUCGGGUUCGGGGUCAAAGUCUGCAUCUGUAGGAGUGGAGCCAUCUGGGCACUCAACUCAACGAUGGUUGGUGGAGAAUGAGAGAAUGAGUCGGUGGUGCUACCUCCAUGAGGGUUGAAAAAAUCAUCAACCCCCAUAGCAGCGGCGGAGGUUUGAAACUAGAGUCAACAAUGCCAAGAUCGCCGCUCUGAUACCAUGCUAAAAUAUGAAAACUAUGAGAGAAUAUUUGUUUGUGAGAAUUUUCUGUGUAUUCUUCUCCUUGUAGGAGGUCAUAUUUAUAAUACAACGAAACCUGGAUGGGCAAGUAAAUAAUAAAUUCCUAAAUCUAUUUGCAGUAGGAAAUCAGGAAUUAAAGUAAAUCAAUUACAAUUAUAAUAGGAAUUCUUGGUGUGUAAGGAAAGUAAGUCAAUAUCCACAAGUCUCGCCAACAAUUUCUUGGUGCACCAUAUUUACCUAUUUUGUUUGUCAUUAUUUUUUUUACGGUCAUGCUAGGGAGACCAUCUUUAGAUAUCAACUUGUAUACUAUCUCUUUAAUAGAGGUAGAGUCCAUCAAUACAAUGGGUCUCACGUCUAUUAGAGAGAUAGUACAUAAGUUGGUCUCCCUAAUAUUUUUCUUUUUUAAAAAAAUACAAGCAAUAGUCUAGAUUGAGAAGGAAAAGUGAGUUUCUCACAUACACACUAGUAAAUACGCAGAGAGAAUAGAAAAGUUGUUGUUCAAACUUCGAACUUACACAGCGAGCACAGUUGUAUUGCAUAUGUAAUAAUUAGAAAGUGACGGUGGAGUAACCUCAGUUGCUGGAUACAUUUGGUAAGUAAAUAAAUUUACAAUCAAUUACAAUCAAUGAUAUAAUCAAAACCAUAACCCUCCCCAACCCUCGCGAUGAAGGGUAAUUGUAGUCUAGUUUUCCAUGGUAAUGAUAAGGAUUCAUCUUCAUUAUCCCCUCUUAAACUUCCAUCAUCCUCGAGAAGUCAUCUUGCUGCAUUUUCAAGCACAAGAGCUGGUAUAUCGAACUCUGAGUAGCACCCUAAUUAUAAUUGGAUACGUUAGUUUAUCAACCCCCAACAAAGUAAAUGGGAGAGGAACAACACGAAGUUUGGAGAUCAAGAAGAAAAAAAAACGAGGCAAGGAUCACCCUUUAGAAAGGACAAUGCUUGGCUCAUGAUUUCCUUUUUAACACAAGGAUCACCCUUUAGAAAGGACAAUGCUUGGCUCAUGAUUUCAUUUUUAACACAAGAUGUAGCCUCUUACAAAAUAACACCUGUUUUUUUUCUUUUUUUUUUCUUUCACCGACUCUCUCUUUCUCCCUCUCACCCACUCGCCUCACCUCUCCUCUCCUCCCGUGCUCUAUUUUCUCUUAUCUCUCCAUCUCUUUCCGUGCAACUCAGUUAUGGAGGAGAGAAAGUGAUGCCGGAUAAAUUUUUUCUACCCCAAGUUGUACCCUAUUCUUCCACCAUUCCUAAAAGUUCUACAACUCCCCGAUAAAUAACUCAAUAAAAUUAAAAAUUAGAAAAUAGAGAAAUCAACACAGUGUUUGGGUGGCCAUCUCCAACCCAAGGACUUAAACCCAAAAUAUUGCCCAAAAUCUCUCCCAACCCAAGAAAAUGAAGGACCCAAAAUUAGGGAAAGCCCAAAUUUGGACCCAUAUAUGGGUCCAAGUAUUGCUUGGACCCAACACUAUUUAAUGGAGCCCACUGCACCUAAAACAACCUUAUGUGCACAACAUCUGACGUGGGCCCCAGCUGACCUGCUGGACUGUUGCUGUUUGGCUGCUUGUCCAGCCACUUGUCAAGUUGCUGUUUGUCUGCUUGUACAAUUGAAUUUGGUUUUUUUAAUUUAAAUUUUAAUAUUCUAAAUGUAACCUAAAUCAACAAUCUAGAUUAAAUAUAAACUAUUUUAAUGGUAAAAAAAAAGAUUCAAUGUCUGAAAUUUAAAUCCAAUGGUCAAAAUAAUAUUUUAAAUUAAUCUAGGUCAAAUUAUAUUUGUGGAAUUUCAAUUUUUUUAGGUCAAAUUGUUCAAAAAAUUUAAUUAUGAUAUUAUUUAAAAAGAUUGAAUGAAGAAAAGUUAUCCCUGAAAAAAAUAGACUUAAACCAUUCUUAAACAAUUUAAUAAAGUUGUGGAUUUAAAAUUUGAGUCCGGAGGGUUGGAAGAAAAAACGAUUUGAAUCCGAGCAAAAUCUAAAUAAUUAUUUUUUAAAGAGGGAAAUUUUGAAUUUAGCCCUUCAUAAGUUGAAGAAGGCCUGACGGAGGAGCAGCGAUGGGAAGAGAAAGGGGCUGAAAAUUUCUUCUAAAGAGUUGCAGGGGAAGAGACAGAGAUCGGGAGAUGAGAGGAGAGAGCUGGGGGAGGAGAGGAGAGUGGGUGAGAAGAGAGAGAGGGAAAGUCGGUGAAACAAAAAGAAGAAACAGGUGUCGUGUUUUAAGAAGGCUACAUCUUUGUCAGGAGCCGAACACGUAUUGUAUUUUAAGGAGGCUACAUCUUGUGUCAGCAUCCAAACAUUGUCCCUUUAGGAAAGGCCUCGGAGAUUUGAUCGUCAGAGGCCACAAAACCAACGCGUGAGGCUUGAGAGAUAACGUGUUCUGUUUGGAAAUGUAUACUCGAGUUUCCAAUGUAGUUUUUAUUUCUCACAUACAUGUCAUUUUCAAAGUACAGUGUCGAUUGGUUGGUGACUAUUUCUGUCGUUAUUCAUAAUUCUGACUUGUACACAUACGUGUGCAUCAUAGAUAUUUCUUUUUUCUUGUAUUUGUUUUGGUAUACGUAAUUAUUUGCUCAUUGUCUUCCAGUGAUCAUGUUUCUUCCUAUUAAUUAUCGAUUGCAAAAAAUUACUUAAUUCUGAAAUCACUUUUGACUACAUGUUAACUUAUAUAGCCUCUCCUCUGGCUACAAUAAUUUAUCAAAAGAAGUUCAAGUAGCUACAAUAUAAAACAUUAGUAUCGCAUGAAAUGCUUGAAACAUAUAUAUUAUUCAUCAAUAUAUAAGUCGUUACAUGGCCCUUUUGAAAUUCAGCGAUGCAGUAAACUUUUUUUUUUCUUUUCUAAAACACCGAUGUAAGCUAAGCAGCAUGAUAGUAAACACUAAAGUGUACCCCAUGAUGCCCAUUGCCCACACACGUUUCCAACUAAAAAAAUAAAAUCCCAAAACACAGUAACCAGAAAAGUAGAAACAAUCCAUAAUAUACCAACGAAGCAGACGCAUAAAAUUCAACCACACUGAUGUUGCUGAUGAUGGCUUCAAGCAUUCAAGCCCACACUGUGAAGCACCACGGUCUCAACAGUCAGUCCUGGUCCAAACCCAAACAGCACACCCCAAUCCAGUCCAUCUCCUGUGGUUUUUAGUCCUUUCUUCGUAGCCCUCUUCCUUACCUCAUCCAAAAUAAAUAGCACACAGGCGCUGGACAUGUUUCCGUACUCCGAUAGUAUGUGUCUUGUCGCCUCCAAUUUCUCAGGCUUCAGGGCUAAUUUGGACUCUACUUGGUCUAGAAUUGCUGGCCCACCUGGGUGUGCAAUCCAGAAUAGGGAGUUCCAAUCCGAGAUGCCCAAAGGUUGGAAGGCCUCGUUAAGACUCUUCUCGAUGUUCUUCGAAAUAAGCCCGGGAACAUCCUUGAGCAGAUGAAAUGUAAGCCCAACUUCACGGAGAUGUCCGUCGAUGGCUCCGUCACUGUCGGGAAGGAUGGUUUGGGCUGCUGACACCACUUCAAACAGGGGCUUCUCGAUCUCGGGAAUUGGGUCCGAACCCACAAUAAUAGCUGCUGCACCAUCACCAAAUAAGGCCUGGCCAACUAAACUGUCAAGGUGGGUGUCACUGGGCCCACGAAAGGUGACCGCUGUGAUCUCCGAGCACACAACGAGAACACGGGCACCCCUGUUGUUCUCGGCCAAGUCCUUGGCCAACCGGAGCACCGUGCCGCCGGCAAAACAUCCUUGUUGGUACAUCAUGAGGCGCUUGACGGAUGAGCGUAGGCCCAAGAGCUUGGUGAGCUGGUAGUCCGCCCCAGGCAUGUCCACACCACUGGUGGUGCAAAAGACCAAAUGGGUAAUUUUGGAUUUGGGCUGGCCCCAUUCCUUAAUGGCCUUGGUGGCAGCUUCUUUGCCGAGUUUUGGAAUUUCAACAACCACCAUGUCCUGCCGGG